GUCCCCCUCCCCCUAGGGCCACUCUGCUCCCUCCUUUGGGACCAGAAGGAGUUGGGCUUAUGGACUGACCCCCUCGCCCUCUGCCUUCUAGCUGGGUUUGGCCAGUGGCGUCGUCAGCAGGAGACCCGGAGCCUCAGCAGGAGGAGGCCAAACAGUCCAGGGUCCACGCCCUCCCACCACCUCCUCCAUGGGGCUCACACAGGCCAGGCCACUGUCUGCCUGCCCAGUCACCCCAGGGCCAGGGACCAGAUGACUAGGGACAGCCCCUCUGCCCCAAAGACCUUGAAAUUAUUCAAAGUGGCCAAUCCCAAGCCUGCUCACCCCACCUCACCUGUUCCUUCUCCUGGAAACCACGGAGGGGAGCAACCCCGUGUGGAGGCUUCAACACGGCCCCUCUCCAGAGCUGCUGUCCCCCGUGCAUCUCACCGAAGCCUCGGACCCUCCCCAUGAAACACAUCGUCGUGCCCAUUUUACAGGAAAGGAAGCUGGGGCCCUACGUGAUGAUCUGAUCUGGGGAGGAUCGGCGUAAAGAGUGCUGCCCCAGUGUAGACAGAGUGUUUGGACUCAACGCUGGGGUCUGACGACCAGGACCUCACAAGAAUAUUUUUGGAACCAGACAAAGAGGGAGGAUGAUGCUAGUUCUGGCUCAAUGGUUCUUCACCAGAGGGUGAUGUCACCCCUCGGGACGUGUGGCAAUGUCCGAGAUAUUUCUGAUUGUCUGACUGAGGGGUCCUCGGGUGGCACCCCUGGCAGGUGGUGGGCAGAGGCCAGGGAUGCUGGUAGACAUCCCACAAGCACAGGACGGCCCCCACACAAAGGACUGACGCCCCCUGCCCAGCACCCAGGCUGGGGCACCCGCACAGAGCACUGGAAUUGGGAGAGGAGACUGGUUGGCUGUGGGUCGUUCCCACCACCGGCCUGACUCUCCGUGAUGCGAAGCAGUGCCUGCUGGGCCCUGCAGCGCCGGCUGUCACCCCUUGAGUCCCCAGGCCCGGGCGCCGGGGCGCGGCCUCUGCUCUCCACGAUGCGCGUGCAGCCUGCAGGGGGAGGUCAGACACGGCCGCCGCGCCCGAGGCAAGGCUGAAGCCACGAGGGGUCAGGGGCUGAGGAUGGCAUGAGGAACCCGGGGGCAAGGAUGGAACCUGGGUGUCGGCAGCUGAUUUUAAUGACCCCAGCUCCGUCUCCUCCCUCCCCGAUUUUGAUGCGAUGAGAAACAACCCUCUUGCUUAAAUAAAAC
rnacentral:lncRNA from 1 species